GGCGGUGUACCCAAAUGGCUAAGGGAGCGGUCUGCAAAACCGCGAUUUGCCGGUUCGAUUCCGGCCGCCGCCU
rnacentral:tRNA from 1 species